UUCCGGUUGAUCCUGCCGGAGGCUACCGCUAUUGGAGUUCGAUUAAGCCAUGCGAGUCGUGAGUCUUAGGGACUCGGCGUACCGCUCAGUAACACGUGGGUAACCUGCCCUAUGCUGGGGAAUAACCUCGGGAAACUGAGAAUAAUGCCCCAUAGUUCACCACGCCUGGAACGGUGGGUGGAUGAAAGCUCCGGCGGCAUAGGAUGGGCCUGCGGCGUAUCAGGUCGUAGGGGGUGUAACGUACCCUCUAGCCAUCGACGCGUACGGGUGUUGGGAGACAUUGCCCGGAGAUGGAUUCUGAGACACGAAUCCAGACCCUACGGGGUGCAGCAGGCGCGAAAACUUGGCAAUGCGAGCAAUCGUGACCAGGGAACUCCAAGUGCAUCGGGUAAGACCGAUGCUUUUCUUGACUCUUCAACGGUCUUGGAAUAAGGGGUGGGUAAGGACGGUGCCAGCCGCCGCGGUAAUACCGGCGCCUCAAGUGGUAGUCGCUUUUAUUGGGCCUAAAACGUCCGUAGCCGGUUUGGUACAUUCGUGGGUAAAUCAAGGCGCUCAACGUCUUGAAUUCUGCGAGCACGGCCAGACUUGGGACCGGGUGAGGUGUGGGGUACUCUCAGGGUAGGGGUAAAAUCCAGUCAUCCUGAGGGGACCACCUGUUGCGAAGGCGCCAUACUAGAACGGAUCCGACGGUCAGGGACGAAGCCUAGGGGCACGAACCGGAUUAGAUACCCGGGUAGUCCUAGGUGUAAACGCUGUGGACUUGGUGUUGGGGAUUCUACGAGUAUCCCCAGUGCCGGAGUGAAGAUGUUAAGUCCACUGCCUGGGGAGUACGGUCGCAAGGCUGAAACUUAAAAGGAAUUGGCGGGGGAGCACAGCAACGAGAGGAGCGUGCGGGUUUAAUUGGAUUCAACGCCGGA
rnacentral:rRNA from 1 species